GCAUCGAUGAAGAACGCAGCGAACUGCGAUAAGUAAUGCGAAUUGCAGAAUUCAGCGAGCCAUCGAAUCUUUGAACGCACAUUGCGCCCGCCAGCAUUCUGGCGGGCAUGCCUGUCCGAGCGUCAUUU
rnacentral:rRNA from 4 species